GACAGAGGGGGCAAGCGUUGCUCGGAAUUACUGGGCGUAAAGGGCGCGUAGGCGGGAUGGCAAGUCGGUCGUGAAAUCCCUCGGCUCAACCGAGGAACGUCGAUCGAUACUGCUGUUCUUGAGGAUUGCAGAGGAGACUGGAAUUCCCGGUAUAGCGGUGAAAUGUGUAGAGAUCGGGAGGAACACCGGUGGCGAAGGCGGGUCUCUGGGCAAUUCCUGACGCUGAGGCGCGAAAGCCAGGGAGCAAAC
rnacentral:rRNA from 1 species